CCACAGCACCGCCCACCUCGGUAGCCCCGACCACCUCUGUAGCCCCGCCCCAGCUUGUGUUCAGACUGGUCUGCCACCUGGUGGUGUUCUGUCCGUACUGCAUCUCCACUGUCCUCAUGGUGUGUUUAUAUCGACGCAGGCCCACAGGAAAUGACCUGCCCGUCUCCAUGGUGAUGACCCCGCCCACCCAGGCUCAGGAGGGAUUAGAUGGUGCCAAUGGUGAUGUCAUCACUACUGUCACCACACAGCGUCUCUUCUGAGCUGAUAAGAAAUCAAAUGGCGCUUUUUUAUUGCUGGUCGCAGCUCAACUUGACUCGACUCGCUUUUGGUGUCCGGUCUUCCGUUUUCCAUUGCAGAUAUACAUGUAGCCUGUGGAAUUAGAUGCCACACAGGACACAAUUACUUCCGGGGUUCUUGUAGCUCCAGGUUUAUUUUUGACCACAUCUGCAAGUCAUUUUACAGAGUGGUAUGCUACGGAGUCUUUCACGUAACCAGCUCAAAUGCUGAAAGAAGAGGCAAAAUGAAAUAAAAUACAGAAAAAUAUGGUAGAAAAUACAGCAGUGGGCUAUGACUAUCGACAGAAAACAUAAAAUAAAUAAUUUUACACGACGAUUGGCACCCAAAAUCCCAGCACACAGAUCCAGUAGUGGAGUCACAGCACCAGCCCUCGUCCAUCGCACAUUAAACAGGAAGAAAGACCAUGAAGCGCUUGGAGACACAACAACAAUACAACUCAAUGCUGCCACCUUGUGGCCAAAGUCUGCCAUCUCAUGUAAGACUGUGGAAAUCCACUUACAAUCUACUUCACACUUACUUUUAAUUGAACAAAUGUUACUCUCAAAACAAAACAACAAAGAACACAUGUAAAAUCGCAGAUUAGAUUUACCGCCCGGCUACAUACAGUAUCUCACAAGGGAGUACACUCCUCAUUUUGUAAAUAUUUCAUUAUAUCUUUUCGUGUGACAACACUGAACAAGUAGUGAGUGUACAGCUUGUAUGACAGUGUAAAUUUGCUGUCUCCUCAAAAUAACAUUGUGCAGCUGCAGAAAAGCAACUAUGGCCGCCGUACUCUGCACCUGCAGCCACCUUGCUCCCGCGAGGUUUUAAUAUCAUGUGACAUGGUGAUGUUUUGCAGCACUGGCAAAAGUCGGACCCAAUUUUUAACCGGCAUGCCUUAUUUUAAGUCCACCAUGCAUCACGUUAAGUCAGCACUGCUUAGCGCCACAUGAAGUUAAGCACAACUACUGUCGCCUUUAUUGCGUUCACCUGUGUUCAAUAACCCUGCCCCCUCUUUCUCUCUAGAGGUUUGCGUGUUCCCUUUGUUCUUGUCGGAUUGUUCGUUAAUUCUGUCGAGUGUCUUCUCUCCUGGCUUCUUGUUUUUGGAUGAAUCUUUGGAUUUUCAUGAUCUCUGGACUCCUGGUUUUUCGUGUUCAUUCAAUUGUUUGUUUCUUGGACUGCCUGCUUCUUUUGUUUUAAUAAAUAUCACUAACUGCA